rnacentral:rRNA from 1 species
UACAGAGGGUGCAAGCGUUAAUCGGAAUUACUGGGCGUAAAGCGUGCGUAGAUGGUUAUGUAAGUCGGAUGUGAAAUCCCCCGGGCUCAACCCCGGGAACUGCGUCUGAUACUGGAAGGCUUGAAUCCGGGAGAGGGAUGCGGAAUUCCAGGUGUAGCGGUGAAAUGCGUAGAUAUUGGGAGGAACACCAGUGGCGAAGGCGGCUCACUGGACUGGUACUGACGCUGAGGCGCGAAAGCGUGGGGAGCAAACGGGG